UACAGAGGUCUCAAGCGUUGUUCGGAAUUACUGGGCGUAAAGAGUGUGUAGGCGGUGCUCUAAGUUCGGGUGUGAAAUCUCUCGGCUUAACUGGGAGGGUGCGCCGGAAACUGGAGUGCUCGAACGUGGGAGAGGAAAGCGGAAUUCCUGGUGUAGCGGUGGAAUGCGCAGAUAUCAGGAGGAACACCAAUAGCGAAGGCAGCUCCGCUGGGACGUUACUGACACUGAGGCGCGGAAAG
rnacentral:rRNA from 1 species